rnacentral:rRNA from 1 species
ACGGGUGAGUAACACGUGGGCAACCUGCCCUUGAGACUGGGAUAACUUCGGGAAACCGGAGCUAAUACCGGAUAAUAUGAGGAACCUCCUGGUUCUUUAUUGAAAGAUGGUUUCGGCUAUCACUUAAGGAUGGGCCCGCGGCGCAUUAGCUAGUUGGUGAGGUAACGGCUCACCAAGGCGACGAUGCGUAGCCGACCUGAGAGGGUGAUCGGCCACACUGGGACUGAGACACGGCCCAGACUCCUACGGGAGGCAGCAGUAGGGAAUCUUCCACAAUGGACGAAAGUCUGAUGGAGCAACGCCGCGUGAGUGAUGAAGGCCUUCGGGUCGUAAAGCUCUGUUGUUAGGGAAGAACAAGUGCGAGAGUAACUGCUCGCACCUUGACGGUACCUAACCAGAAAGCCACGGCUAACUACGUGCCAGCAGCCGCGGUAAUACGUAGGUGGCAAGCGUUGUCCGGAAUUAUUGGGCGUAAAGCGCGCGCAGGUGGUUUCUUAAGUCUGAUGUGAAAGCCCACGGCUCAACCGUGGAGGGUCAUUGGAAACUGGGGAACUUGAGUGCAGAAGAGGAAAGUGGAAUUCCAA